rnacentral:rRNA from 1 species
ACAGUCUCAGUUCGGAUUGAAGGCUGAAAUUCGCCUUCAUGAAGCCGGAAUUGCUAGUAAUGGCAGGUCAGCAUACUGCCGUGAAUACGUUCCCGGGCCUUGUACACACCGCCCGUCACACCAUGAGAGUUGGCAAUACCCAACGUACGUGAUCUAACCCGCAAGGGAGGAAGCGUCCUAAGGUAGGGUCAGCGAUUGGGGUGAAGUCGUAACAAGGUAAC